rnacentral:rRNA from 1 species
ACGCUGGCGGCAUGCUUUACACAUGCAAGUCGAACGGCAGCGCGGGCUUCGGCCUGGCGGCGAGUGGCGAACGGGUGAGUAAUGCAUCGGAACGUGCCCAGUAGUGGGGGAUAGCCCGGCGAAAGCCGGAUUAAUACCGCAUACGACCUGAGGGUGAAAGCGGGGGACCGAAAGGCCUCGCGCUAUUGGAGCGGCCGAUGUCGGAUUAGCUAGUUGGUGGGGUAAAGGCUUACCAAGGCGACCAUCCGUAGCUGGUCUGAGAGGACGACCAGCCACACUGGGACUGAGACACGGCCCAGACUCCUACGGGAGGCAGCAGUGGGGAAUUUUGGACAAUGGGGGCAACCCUGAUCCAGCCAUGCCGCGUGCGGGAAGAAGGCCUUCGAGUUGUAAACCGCUUUUGUUCGGGAAGAAAUCCUCUGGGCUAAUACCCCGGGGGGAUGACGGUACCGGAAGAAUAAGCACCGGCUAACUACGUGCCAGCAGCCGCGGCAAUACCUACGGUGCGAGCGUUAAUCGGAAUUACUGGGCGUAAAGCGUGCGCAGGCGGUUGUGCAAGACAGAUGUGAAAUCCCCGGGCUUAACCUGGGAACUGCAUUUGUGACUGCAUGGCUAGAAUGCCGC